GAUGAACGCUAGCGGGAGGCCUAACACAUGCAAGCCGAGCGGUAUUGUUUCUUCGGAAAUGAGAGAGCGGCGUACGGGUGCGGAACACGUGUGCAACCUGCCUUUAUCUGGGGGAUAGCCUUUCGAAAGGAAGAUUAAUACUCCAUAAUAUAUUGAACGGCAUCGUUUAAUAUUGAAAGCUCCGGCGGAUAGAGAUGGGCACGCGCAAGAUUAGCUAGUUGGUGAGGUAACGGCUCACCAAGGCGAUGAUCUUUAGGGGGCCUGAGAGGGUGAUCCCCCACACUGGUACUGAGACACGGACCAGACUCCUACGGGAGGCAGCAGUGAGGAAUAUUGGUCAAUGGGUGCAAGCCUGAACCAGCCAUCCCGCGUGAAGGACGACUGCCCUAUGGGUUGCAAACUUCUUUUGUAUAGGGAUAAACCUACCCUCGUGAGGGUAGCUGAAGGUACUAUACGAAUAAGCACCGGCUAACUCCGUGCCAGCAGCCGCGGUAAUACGGAGGGUGCAAGCGUUAUCCGGAUUUAUUGGGUUUAAAGGGUCCGUAGGCGGACUUAUAAGUCAGUGGUGAAAGCCUGUCGCUUAACGAUAGAACUGCCAUUGAUACUGUAAGUCUUGAGUAUGUUUGAGGUAGCUGGAAUAAGUAGUGUAGCGGUGAAAUGCAUAGAUAUUACUUAGAACACCAAUUGCGAAGGCAGGUUACCAAGAUAUAACUGACGCUGAGGGACGAAAGCGUGGGGAGCGAACAGGAUUAGAUACCCUGGUAGUCCACGCCGUAAACGAUGCUAACUCGUUUUUGGGCUUUAGGGUUCAGAGACCAAGCGAAAGUGAUAAGUUAGCCACCUGGGGAGUACGCUCGCAAGAAUGAAACUCAAAGGAAUUGACGGGGGCCCGCACAAGCGGUGGAUUAUGUGGUUUAAUUCGAUGAUACGCGAGGAACCUUACCAAGACUUAAAUGGGAAUUGACAGCUUUAGAAAUAGAGCUUUCUUCGGACAAUUUUCAAGGUGCUGCAUGGUUGUCGUCAGCUCGUGCCGUGAGGUGUUAGGUUAAGUCCUGCAACGAGCGCAACCCCUGUCACUAGUUGCCAUCAUUCAGUUGGGGACUCUAGUGAGACUGCCUACGCAAGUAGAGAGGAAGGUGGGGAUGACGUCAAAUCAUCACGGCCCUUACGUCUUGGGCCACACACGUAAUACAAUGGCCGGUACAGAGGGCAGCUACACAGCGAUGUGAUGCAAAUCUCGAAAGCCGGUCUCAGUUCGGAUUGGAGUCUGCAACUCGACUCUAUGAAGCUGGAAUCGCUAGUAAUCGCGCAUCAGCCAUGGCGCGGUGAAUACGUUCCCGGGCCU
rnacentral:rRNA from 1 species